rnacentral:miRNA from 1 species
GUAUAUGUAUAUGCAUAUAUGUGUAUAUAUGUGUGUAUGUACACAAACACACAUACCCAUAUGCCUAUCACCCACAUUC